rnacentral:lncRNA from 1 species
CUCCGUCCCCGCCUCGUGGUGUGUACCUCCCCCCACUGCGAUGGUGGUCCCAAGAGCCAGGGGGGAAGUGGGGCUGGCUCUCAGUCCCCGCCUCGCAUGGGGUGCCUCCUCCUCCCUGCGAUGGGGGCCGAAGAGCGAGAGGUGAAGAGGGGCUGGCUCUCAGUCCCUGCCUCACGGGGGGUACCUCCCCCGCUGCGAUGGCUGUCCUAAGACACGGGGGGGAAGAGGAGCUGGCUCUCAGUACCUGCCUCGCGUGGGGUGCCAAGCGCCUGCGAUGGGGGUCCUAAGAGCCACGGGGGGAAGAGGGGCAGGCUCUCCGUCCCUGCCUCGCGGGGGGUGCCUCUCCCCGCUGUGAUGGGGGUCCUAAUAGCCAGGGGGCGCAGAGGGGCUGGCUCUCAGUCCCCGCCUCGUGUGGGGUGCCUCCCCCCCCCGCAAUGGGGGUCCUAAGAGCCAGGGGAGGAAGAGAGGCUGGCUCUCAGUCCCUGCCUCGCGGGGGGUGCCUCCCUCACCAGCAAUGGGGCUCCUAAGAGCCAGGGGGGAAGAGGGGCUGGCUCCGGUACAUUGCAAAUGACCUGCUUUUUUUCUGAUCCCGAGCUGCGUUCAGACCCCUGUCGGAUAGUAAAUCCCAAGUAAGGUACCUUCUGCUGGAAGAUCUGAGCUUUCUUCUUGGACACCUAAAACCCACAGUCCUCCAGUGAAGGAUCCAGUGAGAUUUUCCAGGUUAACGGUCAUAAUCGCCUACUGGUCCAACGUUCAGAAGUAACACAGGCACCUGGACAAUACACAGUAGAUGUGGAAGGACACGGUUGUACAUUUAUCCAGGCCACCCUUAAGUACAAUGUUCUCCUACCUAAGAAGGCAUCUGGAUUUUCUCUUUCCUUGGAAAUAGUAAAGAACUACUCUUCGACUGCUUUUGACCUCACAGUGACCCUCAAAUACACUGGAAUUCGCAAUAAAUCCAGUAUGGUGGUUAUAGAUGUAAAAAUGCUAUCAGGAUUUACUCCAACCAUGUCAUCCAUUGAAGAGCUUGAAAACAAGGGCCAAGUGAUGAAGACUGAAGUCAAGAAUGACCAUGUUCUUUUCUACUUGGAAAAUGGUUUUGGUCGAGCAGACAGUUUCCCUUUUUCUGUUGAGCAGAGCAACCUUGUGUUCAACAUUCAGCCAGCCCCAGCCAUGGUCUACGAUUACUAUGAAAAAGGUAGGCAAGCAACAGCCAUGCCCUAAGGUUAUUGAAUGUGGUAUUUAUAUCUAAUAUUCCCUGAGCUACUAAAUUUCCAAAAUCAACCUCCGUCUUCACAGAGUAAACAAUAGAUGGCAUUACUUUGUAUACUGGUUUCUUUAUCCCAUGAUGUGUCUUCUGACUGAACCCAUUUUCCAGUUACCAGAGUUUUUCAACACCAGAAUCCUUGCAAUAUAACCUGACAGGGCUCCACUUGAACUUGAAAUACAAGCCACACUAAGCUUCCAGGUCUUUUUGUUAUUGUCAUUGUUGUUCAUGCUAAGACUGACUGUUCCAAGCUACUUCUGUGGACUUUGACUUAAAGAGAGGAGUGGGGAAUAUUCUGAAAUGCUAACUAACUUAAAAAUUUGAUAGAUUAAUUUCUAAAACAUAUACAAAGAUGUUGUAGAGACCAUACAACUGUUCCCUGGAAGGUUGGUACUAUUUAUUUCUUGUUGAAUGCUGUGUGAAGUUUGUGGAGUGUUUGAAUUCUGUCUCUAUCAUUUACUAAUAGAAUAUAUUUCAUCAAGUGUCUUAAAUAUUAUUAGCAUAUUUCUGGAUGUAUAAAAUGGGAAAGUAAUUGUCUCUAUUUCAAAAUUAUUGGAAGGAUUAGAUCUAAUGUGCUUAUAUCAUCUAUUUAAUAAAAAUACAUGUUCCCUUUAUUUUUUCAGAAGAAUAUGCCCUAGCUUUUUACAACAUCGACAGUAGUUCAGUUUCCGAGUGAGACAAAGCAAUUACUAGAAGAGUUGGAGAAGCAUUUCUUGUAACAAACUGAUUCUUCUGUAUCAAACCUGGAAAAAAAUCAUGAACCAUCUGACAUCGUGAACAGUCUGCAGUGGGCUAUGGUUUCUUGUCAAGUCUUAUUUCCUUAUCAUCCCAUUAAAUGUUGUCAUUUUGCAU